rnacentral:lncRNA from 1 species
ACCAGUAGCACCUCAGGCGCCUCCAGUUGCUCCUCCACCUCAGGCGCCUACAGUUGAUCAUCCAGUUGGGCCAAUCACUCGGGCCCGUGCGAGAGAAUUAAACUUCAUCAUGCUGUUAAGGAACGAAGGCCCAGUGGAAUAAGAAGAUGGCCCAACAGGGCAGCCCAGGUGGGGCGCCUAGGGUUGGGAGCCGCGGCCCUCCCCCUGGUCGCGCGCCCCCCCUCCUGCCGUGGUGCCUCCUCCGGAGUCCAGGGGCUGCGCCCCCUUUAUUUAGUCGGAGUCCCUUUUGUUUACGACUUGAGUUUUGUUUUACAUCUAGCUUUAGCUACUCUCGAACACGCGCAAAUACGCGCUGUCCUUGUG